UUUUUUUUUUUUUUUUUUUUUUGCCGGCACUUAAAAACUAACCUCACGAUUGUUGAAAAAACAAG
rnacentral:ribozyme from 1 species